rnacentral:tRNA from 1 species
GGAUUUGUAGCUUAGUAGUAGAGCACUGAGUAGUGCUAGUUAUGCAUGAGACCCUGGGUUCAACCCCCAGUACCUCCA